AGAGUUUGAUCCUGGCUCAGGAUGAACGCUAGCGGCAGGCUUAAUACAUGCAAGGCGAAGGGGCAGCAAUGUCACUGUCGUACGGGUGCGUAACGCGUAUGCAACCUACCUAUCACUGGGGGAUAGCCCGGGGAAACCCGGAUUAAUACCGCAUAACACAGGGGCUCCACAUGGAGAUAUUUGUUAAAGAUUUAUCGGUGGUAGAUGGGCAUGCGUUCGAUUAGCUAGUUGGCAGGGUAACGGCCUACCAAGGCGACGAUCGAUAGGGGAGCUGAGAGGUUGAUCCCCCACACGGGCACUGAGAUACGGGCCCGACUCCUACGGGAGGCAGCAGUAGGGAAUAUUGGGCAAUGGAUGCAAGUCUGACCCAGCCAUGCCGCGUGCCGGAAGAAGGCCCUCAGGGUUGUAAACGGCUUUUAUUCGGGAAGAAGAGCAGGGAUGCGUCCUUGUGUGACGGUACCGAAUGAAUAAGCACCGGCUAACUCCGUGCCAGCAGCCGCGGUAAU
rnacentral:rRNA from 1 species